rnacentral:lncRNA from 1 species
UCUGCUUCUCUCAUAGUCUGUUGCGUUUACUCAUAAACCCACUGUCUCUCUCUCUCCAUCUCUCUCUCUCUCUCUCUCUCUCUCUCUCACUCUCGAUAUUUUUGGCUUCCAAUACCUCAAGAAACCCACCAUUUUCUUCUUUGCCUUUUAUCUGUUUGAUCAAUCAAGAUUUGAUUCCUUUUGCUCUCUUCACAACAAAGAUUGAGGAUUUUUCAAGAAAUCAGAGUGAUUUCUUGUUUUUUCCUAUUUUGGUUUUCAUUUCUUUGUUAGUUCUGUUGAUUCCUCCUUUAUAUUCUUGGUUUUUUCCUUUUUUUCUAACCCCUGUUGAUUUUAAAAGGGUUUCUCUCCUCUUCUUUUAUCACAGUUUGUU